rnacentral:piRNA from 1 species
UGGUUGAAGGUGCCAGUAUAUCUA